rnacentral:rRNA from 1 species
UGCUAUUUCAAAUAACGCCAAUAGUGGAUGCCUAGGAAGUAUAGACCGAAGAAGGACGCAUCAAGGUUCGCGAUAAACGUCGGGGAGUGACCUAUGACACUUUGAUCCGGCGGUGUCCGAAUGGGGAAACCCACCCGUAAGGGGAGCUUCUACUGAAGUUUGUUUGAAUUUAUUCAGACAAUAUUAGGUAGCAGUAGGAAACCCGGGAAACUGAAACAUCUAAGUACCCGGAGGAAUAAAAAUCACAGAGAUUCCGUCAGUAGCGGCGAGUGAAAGCGGAACAGCCUAAACUACUCGUAGCAAUACCAGUAGUGUUGCAGGGUGACUGGCUUAAAUGCAAUGGAGUACAAGAGAAAGAUAGCAGAAGGUGCUGGAACUGCACUACCAAAGGGAGUGAUAGUCUCGUAAGCGAAAUUUUUCUCUCUCCUCGUUAUACCCUAAGUACUAUGAGGCACGAUUUAAACCUUGUAGGAAUCUGGGGCGACCACGCUCCAAGGCUAAAUAUCUAUACUUACCGAUAGUGAACUAGUACCGUGAGGGAAAGGUGAAAAGCACCCCGGGAGGGGAAUGAAAUAGUACCUGAAACUAUUGGCUAACAAGCAGACAGAGUCCCGCCUCGGCGGGAUGAUGUCGUGCCUAUUGAAGAAUGAGCCGGUGAGUUAAUUUAUAUUCCAAGUCUAAGUAAGGUAAGUCUUACGGAGGCGUAGUGAAAGCGAGCCCUAACUGGGCGAAAAUAUAGGAGUGUAGAUUAGACCCGAAACCAGGUGAGCUAACCAUGAGCAGGUUGAACUCUCGCGAAAGUUGAGAGGAAGGACCGAACCCUUUUCCGUUGCAAUGGGAUGGGAUGACUUGUGGUUAGGGGCGAUAUGCCAAACGAACCUGGAGAUAGCUGGUUCUCCCCGAAAUAUAUCUUGGUAUAGCUUCCGUUAAAAGCUUGCUGGGGGUAGAGCACUGAAUGGAUCUGGGUGGCGAAAGCUAUUCAAUUCAAUCAAACUCCGAAUACCAGUGUAGUGUUGACGGAAAGUCAGAACUGCGGGGCUAAGCUCGUGGUUCGAAAGGGAAACAACCCAGACUUUCAGCUAAGGUCUCUAAAUUCAUGCUAAGUUGUUAAGGAAGUCAUUGUCCUCAGACAGCUAGGAGGUUGGCUUAGAAGCAGCCAUCCUUUAAAGAAAGCGUAACAGCUCACUAGUCGAUUUGGGAUAGUGGCGCCGAAAAUGAUCGAGGAUUAAGCAUGAUACCGAAGCUAGAGAUCCCGCCGUAAGGCGUGGAUGGUAGGGGAGCGUUGUAUACGCUUUGAAGCUGAACUGUAAGGUUUGGUGGAGUAUAUACAAGUGAGAAUGCCGGCAUGAGUAGCGUAUUGCACCUGAGAACGGUGCACGCCAAAAGCCUAAGGAUUCCUUCGCAAUGUAAGUCAGCGAAGGGUUAGUCGGCACCUAACGGUAGCCCGUCAAUAAGCGCGGGAUAGCCGGAUGGACGAGUCGUUAAAAUUCGACUACUUUAUAUUGAUCGUUAUAACUUAAGGAUUGACUGGAAUGGAAGAGACAGCCCGAUACGUCGGGUUUAAAUCACGAGGCAGUGAGAAAUUGGUAAAUCCGUUUUCGCGUUUUAACCGAGUGAUGAUGACAAAUAGGAAACGCAAGAAGUACUAUGAGUGUUAUCUUUCAAUCUACGAGAAAAGGUUCGUAAGGAGAGCAAUAUGGAGCCGUACCGCAUUACCGACACAGGUAGGCAAGUCGAGUAGACUAAGGCGAUCGUGAGAAGUGUGUUCAAGGAACUCUGCAAAAAAUCUAGGCGUAACCUAUGGGAGAUGCCUUGCCUGCACGAGAGUGUAGGCCAUAUGCAAAAGAAUGCUUAGCAACUGUUUAUCUAAAACACAGGUCCCUGCAAAACCGAAAGGUAAGGUAUAGGGGCUGACACCUGCCCAGUGCCGGUAAGUCAAAAAUCUCGGAUGAAGACUCGUAAGAGUAUCAGUCUAGGAUUUAAGCUCCGGUGAACGGCAGCAGUAACUAUAACUGUUCUAUGGUAGCGAAGUUCCUUGUCGGGUGAGUUCCGACCCGCACGAAUGGUAGAAUGACUGAGCAACUGUCUUGAACACAUACACGGCGAAAUUGAGAUGGCUGUGAAGACGCGGCCUGGUUGUCCUUGGACAAAAAGACCCCGGGAGCUUUACUGUAGCUUGGCAUUUGUGAGUUUUUUCUAACUGUUUAGAAUAGGAGGGAGGCUUCGGCCGAUCGUGAAAUACCUCUCUUUGGAAAGAGCAAGCAUUACUUCUUUACCGCAUAAAAACUCGGUAGAAGGACAUUGUCUGGUGGGCAGUUUGACUGGGGAGGUCGCCUCCUAAAUGGCAACGGAGGUGUACAAAGGUUGGCUUAGCACGGAUGGAAAUCGUGCUGAAUCUAUAUUGGGAUAAGCCAGCUUGACUGCGAGAGUUACAACUCGAGCAGGUGCGAAAGCAGGUCAAAGUGAUCCUGCGCUGCAUAGUGGUAUGCACGUAGCUUAACGGAUAAAAGCUACCCCGGGGAUAACAGGCUGAUCGCUCCCAAGCGUCCACAGCGACGGGGCGGUUUGGCACCUUGAAAUAUUUGAAACCCAAAUAUCGGGGCGCCUUAACUGCAAAGUUAAAGCCUGAUUCUUCAGAAGUAAGAUUGAUAGGUCUUUUUGUUGAAUAAAAAUACUAGCUCAAAUCGGUGAACUCCUUUUUUUGAACAAGAAAGGACAAUACCGAGAGGAGAAUAGUUUGAAGUUCAAAAUUUUAAGUUCAAGAUUAUAAAUAGCAAUAUUAUUAACUUUGAAUUUUUAACUAGUAACUUUAAAUUGUUUUUCUUGUAUCGACUGUUUCCGCCUCAUCGGCGGAACGAUGGAAAUUACUAUCCCGCUCAGCGGGAUAAAUCUAAGAUUUUCAUAAUACGGCUAGCUCUGCUUGUGCGCCAGCACAAGAGUUUUCAGUGAUCAUUUUUCAGUUCUCAUUGAGAAUUGUGAAUUGUGAAUUGGUAAUUCUCGCGAAAGCGAGUAGAUGAAGGUAUAGUCAGCCCCUUUGGUAACAGAGGAUUUAAUUUUCGAAUCAUCGAAAUUUGAGACAGCGAUGUCGGCUCAUCCUAGCGCGGAGGUGGAGAAGCUUCCAAGCGUCUGGCUGUUCGCCAGUUAAAAGGGUACGCGAGCUGGGUUAAGAGCGUCGUGAGACAGCUCGGUCUCUAUCCAGGAUAACCGUUUGAGAUUUGAAGGGAGUUGCCCCUAGUACGAGAGGACUGGGGUGAGGGAAUCCCUGGUGUGCCGGCUGUACCAUAGAAUGGGCAUCGUCGGGUAGCUAUAUUCCCAUGGGAUAACCGCUGAAAGCAUCUAAGUGGGAAGCCCACCUUAAGAUAAGAUCUCUUAGACCCCUUGAAGACCACGAGGUUGAUAGGCUGCAAGUGUAAGGCGAGUAAUCGUUUCAGCUUAGCAGUACUAAUCGGUCGAGAAGUAGUACA